rnacentral:rRNA from 1 species
CCUACGGGUGGCUGCAGUGGGGAAUAUUGCACAAUGGGCGCAAGCCUGAUGCAGCCAUGCCGCGUGUGUGAAGAAGGCCUUCGGGUUGUAAAGCACUUUCAGCGGGGAGGAAGGCGGUGAGGUUAAUAACCUCAUCGAUUGACGUUACCCGCAGAAGAAGCACCGGCUAACUCCGUGCCAGCAGCCGCGGUAAUACGGAGGGUGCAAGCGUUAAUCGGAAUUACUGGGCGUAAAGCGCACGCAGGCGGUCUGUCAAGUCGGAUGUGAAAUCCCCGGGCUCAACCUGGGAACUGCAUUCGAAACUGGCAGGCUAGAGUCUUGUAGAGGGGGGUAGAAUUCCAGGUGUAGCGGUGAAAUGCGUAGAGAUCUGGAGGAAUACCGGUGGCGAAGGCGGCCCCCUGGACAAAGACUGACGCUCAGGUGCGAAAGCGUGGGGGGCAAACAGGAUUAGAUACCCUGGUAGUC